AUACGGAGGGUGCAAGCGUUACUCGGAAUCACUGGGCGUAAAGCGCGCGCAGGCGGUCUUUUAAGUUGGAUGUGAAAGCCUACAGCUCAACUGUAGAACUGCAUCCAAAACUAUUAGACUAGAGUCUGGGAGGGGAAGAUGGAAUUAGUUGUGUAGGGGUAAAAUCCGUAGAGAUAACUAGGAAUACCAAAAGCGAAGGCGAUCUUCUGGAACAGUACUGACGCUGAGGCGCGAAAGCGUGGGGAGCAAACAGGAUUAGAUACCCGUGUAGUCC
rnacentral:rRNA from 1 species